rnacentral:rRNA from 1 species
GACGAACGCUGGCGGCGUGCUUAACACAUGCAAGUCGAACGAAAAGAGGGAAAGAGCUUGCUCUUUCCGGAAUUGAGUGGCAAACGGGUGAGUAACACGUAAACAACCUGCCUUCAGGAUGGGGACAACAGACGGAAACGACUGCUAAUACCGAAUAAGUUCCAAGGGCCGCAUGGCCCAUGGAAGAAAAGGUGGCCUCUACCUGUAAGCUAUCGCCUGAAGAGGGGUUUGCGUCUGAUUAGCUGGUUGGAGGGGUAACGGCCCACCAAGGCGACGAUCAGUAGCCGGUCUGAGAGGAUGAACGGCCACACUGGAAUUGAGACACGGUCCAGACUCCUGCGGGAGGCAGCAGUGGGGAAUCUUCCGCAAUGGGCGAAAGCCUGACGGAGCAACGCCGCGUGAGUGAUGACGGCCUUCGGGUUGUAAAACUCUGUGAUCCGGGACGAAAAGGCAGAGUGCGAAGAACAAACUGCAUUGACGGUACCGGAAAAGCAAGCCACGGCUAACUACGUG